AGGUUUGCGGCGGACGGGUGAGUAACACGUGGGCAACCUGCCUGUAAGACUGGGAUAACUUCGGGAAACCGGAGCUAAUACCGGAUAAUAUAAGGAACCUCCUGGUUCUUUAUUGAAAGAUGGUUUCGGCUAUCAUUUACAGAUGGGCCCGCGGCGCAUUAGCUAGUUGGUGAGGUAACGGCUCACCAAGGCGACAAUGCGUAGCCAACCUGAGAGGGUGAUCGGCCACACUGGGACUGAGACACGGCCCAGACUCCUACGGGAGGCAGCAGUAGGGAAUCUUCCACAAUGGACGAAAGUCUGAUGGAGCAACGCCGCGUGAGCGAUGAAGGCCUUCGGGUCGUAAAGCUCUGUUGUUAGGGAAGAACAAGUGCGAGAGUAACUGCUCGCACCUUGACGGUACCUAACCAGAAAGCCACGGCUAACUACGUGCCAGCAGCCGCGGUAAUACGUAGGUGGCAAGCGUUGUCCGGAAUUAUUGGGCGUAAAGCGCGCGCAGGUGGUCCUUUAAGUCUGAUGUGAAAGCCCACGGCUCAACCGUGGAGGGUCAUUGGAAACUGGGGGACUUGAGUGCAGAAGAGGAAAGUGGAAUUCCAAGUGUAGCGGUGAAAUGCGUAGAGAUUUGGAGGAACACCAGUGGCGAAGGCGACUUUCUGGUCUGUAACUGACACUGAGGCGCGAAAGCGUGGGGAGCAAACAGGAUUAGAUACCCUGGUAGUCCACGCCGUAAACGAUGAGUGCUAAGUGUUAGAGGGUUUCCGCCCUUUAGUGCUGCAGCUAACGCAUUAAGCACUCCGCCUGGGGAGUACGGUCGCAAGACUGAAACUCAAAGGAAUUGACGGGGGCCCGCACAAGCGGUGGAGCAUGUGGUUUAAUUCGAAGCAACGCGAAGAACCUUACCAGGUCUUGACAUCCUCUGACACUCCUAGAGAUAGGACGUUCCCCUUCGGGGGACAGAUGACAGGUGGUGCAUGGAUGUCGUCAGCCCGUGUCGUGAGAUGUUGGGUUAAGUCCCGCAACGAGCGCAACCCUUGAUCCUAGUUGCUAGCAUUCAGUUGGGCACUCUAAGGUGACUGCCGGUGACAAACCGGAGGAAGGGGGGGAUGACGUCAAAUCAUCA
rnacentral:rRNA from 2 species